rnacentral:lncRNA from 1 species
AGGGGACAUGGCCGAGGCCCGCGGUGUCCGCGUGUGGGAGCUGCAGGGCUGAGGAGAGGCCGCCCGCAACCCUCGGGAAUCGUGUGAG